rnacentral:rRNA from 1 species
CGAGGUGGAGCAAACCCCAGAAAUAACGUCCCAGUUCGGACUGCAGCCUGCAACUCGGCUGCACGAAGCCGGAAUCGCUAGUAAUCGCAGAUCAGCAUGUUGCGGUGAAUACGUUCCCGGGUCUUGUACACACCGCCCGUCACACCAUGGGAGCCGGGAAUGCCCGAAGUCAGCGGCCCAACCGAAAGGAGGGAGCUGCCGAAGGCAGGCCUGGUGACUGGGGUGAAGUCGUAACAAGGUAGC